AGAGUUUGAUCCUGGCUCAGAUUGAACGCUGGCGGCAUGCUUUACACAUGCAAGUCGAACGGCAGCACGGGGGCAACCCUGGUGGCGAGUGGCGAACGGGUGAGUAAUGUAUCGGAACAUGUCCGGAAGUGGGGGAUAACGUAGCGAAAGUUACGCUAAUACCGCAUAUGCCCUGAGGGGGAAAGGAGGGGAUCGCAAGACCUUUCGCUUUCGGAGUGGCCGAUAUCAGAUUAGCUAGUUGGUGAGGUAAAGGCUCACCAAGGCGACGAUCUGUAGCUGGUCUGAGAGAACGACCAGCCACACUGGGACUGAGACACGGCCCAGACUCCUACGGGAGGCAGCAGUGGGGAAUUUUGGACAAUGGGGGCAACCCUGAUCCAGCCAUGCCGCGUGAGUGAAGAAGGCCUU
rnacentral:rRNA from 1 species